GAUGAAGAACGCAGCGAAAUGCGAUAAGUAAUGUGAACUGCAGAAUUCAGUGAAUCAUCGAAUCUUUGAACGCACAUUGCGCCCGCCAGUAUUCUGGCGGGCAUGCCUGUUCGAGCGUCAUUUCAACCAUCAAGCCCCAGGCUUGUGUUGGGGACCUGCGGCUGCCGCAGGCCCUGAAAACCAGUGGCGGGCUCGCUGUCACACCGGGCGUAGUAGAUUUUAUCUCGCUCAGGGCGUGCUGCGGGUCCCGGCCGUUAAAAGCCUUUUUUUACCCAAGGUUGACCUCGGAUCAGGUAGGAAGACCCGCUGAACUUAAGCAUAUCAAUAAGCGGAGA
rnacentral:misc_RNA from 1 species